GUAUAAAUGUAUGUAUAAAGCACAUGUGUGUAGCCUAUCCACAUCUUCCUGUGUAUUUUAAGUCAUCUUUAGAUUAUAUAUAACACCUAAUAUGAUGUAAAAACUAUGUGAAUAGCUGUUUUACUGUAUUUAGAGAAUAAUAACAAGAAAAAAUUCUAUAUAUGUUCAACUCACAUAAUUUUCUUUUUUCUGAGUAUUUCCAAUCUGCAGUUGGCUGAAUCCAUAGAUAUGGAACCCACAGAUAUGGAGGGACUACUGUUCAUAUCUGAUCACUGUCCCCAGUUUUCUUGCACAUGGCUCCUGAGACUUUGGAAUCCUUGAAGUGGAGAAUUGGAACAAAGGAAGCCAGCACAAAUGUUGCUAUUGAUACUUUUGUCUGUGACUAUGAUCCUGUGAUUAUUAAAUUCUGGACAGCUUCUUGAAUCCCUGACACAGUUUGAAGAAGGAAUUAAUGCGCCGCCAGCCUGUAAGCUACUUGCCCAACUUGUCCUGUGAAGACCACUCAUCAAAGACCACUCACAACCAGCUGCGUGCACAAGUCAUAAAUGAUGGUCAUGAGCAGUGACUAAAGCAGAACUCUCAACAAGGAUUCGCCUGCAGUUACUUGUCAACAGGAAUAUGUUCACUAUGUGCGAAGUUACUUAAAAGGGCUCUAUCAUCACUUAGUUAUCAACAUCCCGUCUAGCCCCUGCUGAUUUCAAAAAUGACACAGGGACAGAAGCUAAUUUACUCUUUCAAGUCAUAGGAAGAUGAGUUAACCAAUUUAGGGCUCCAAAUUCUCCAGGGACAGGGUCCAUCUGUCCCUUAAAACCCUUUAACCUCUUCCUGAAGGCAUUGGCUUCAUAAAUUUCAUACAAAACUCCAACAGUGUCAUCGACCAGAGAGAAGCAGUCUCCAUUCUUUGCCCCAAUCUUCAUUAAUCUUUGAUUUGAUGUGAAUAGACCCAUCCUGCUUGAAAUUGCAUCUCAGGAGACUUGUGGGGAGAGCUUUGGAUGGCGAUAAUACUUGGCAAAAGUAUACUGAAAGACUGGAUUGGAAAGCUCAAGGGGGAAACUCAUUCACAUUUAAAACAUUUGCUACUUCCUGGUUCCGAUCAAGGCAUAAACAACCACAAACAUGAGCACUUUUCCAAAUUGUAUUCUGGCACAUCCUUUUCCAGUUCCUGCUGGAUUGAGGAAAUGUGCCAGAUGAAAAAAACAAAGCAAACAACAACAAUGAAAAAAACAACAUAGUAUAAGGAAGAUUUUUUUUCUUUCAAUUUUUUCUUUUCUCUUAGUGUUCCUCCAGGAACACUAUUAAUACCUUCAGAGAGGCAUGAUUGCUUUUUCUUGGCACAUAUUAAAUUUUUAGAAUAAUACCCUCAGUCCCUUGAUAGAACUCAGAGCCAGAGUGGUGGAUAGUGGUAGGUUUUGUGUGUGUGUGUGUGUGUGUGUGUGUGUGUGGUGGGGGCAGCGGGGGGUGCAGGAGGAACGCCUAAAUACAGAGCCAGGAGCCAGGAGAGGGGAAAUGUUGCCCCACCUGGAUUUCACCCUUACACAUCUACAAGGAGCAGCUGGUCAGGCCAGGAAAGAUGGUCCCCAGGACUUGCACCUUCCUGGGUUGUCUGGUUUUCCUUUUCAUCACUUCUGUGAAUUCUGUUUUUUUCUUAUAACUGUCAUACAGCAUCUGUAGGACUUUAUCCUUGCCAAUGUUUACCCAAGAAGAUAAGGUGUUAGAAAUUUAAGAAAAUAAAACUUAGGCAGAAUUUUGGAAAAUAGAACAGCAAUUUCUUAUAAACUCAAACACAUACUGUUGUAUGACCUGAUAAUCCCACUCUUUGGUAUUUUUCUCAAGACAAAUGAAAACAUGUGCCCAUUAAAAAUCCUGUGUACUGAUGUUUAUAACACCUUUAAUCGUGAGCCCCAAGUUGAAAAUAAUUACUUGUCCAUUAAUUGGGGAAUAGAUAAGUAAUCUCUCAUACAACCACUAAAUGGAAUACAACCCAACAAAAUAAAAUGAAGAUAUCAAUUACUGAUAUUUGUGAUACGUGGAUGAAUCUCAGUGUAUUAUGCCAAGGGAAGUAAACCUGUAAAAAUUUACAUGUUGUUUUACUUAUUUAUAUGACAUUCUGGAAGAGUCAAAGUAAUUAGUGAUAGAAACCUGAUCAGUGGGGAAAUUGGCAAAGGGUAUGAGGGAAAUUUGAGAGAUGAUGGAUAUGUUUUCUGUCUUGGUGGUGUGUUGGUUACAUCUCUUUGUGGUUGCCAAAAAUCAUAGAACUGAAUUCUAUAAAGGGUGUGUAUAAUAAGUAAACUAUAUCCCUGUAAGCCUGACUCUAAUUCCACAGUGGCAUUGAGCAUUAACUUAAUGUAUAUUUUUUGUGUCUCUUCUGGUUUCCUGUGUUAAAGAAAAUAAAAACUCUCCUCUGUCCUUCCCCAACACUAGCAAUUCUACUCACCCACCUAUUCUGACAAGCUAGGCAGAACAUUGAUUGUUCUUAAUCAGUUGUUAAUUUAAUGCUUUCUAACAUCUUUUUAGUUUCUACUUGUCUCUAAUUACCUUGUUAUCUUUCUUCAGCACCCUGCUGUUCUCUGAAAUCCCCUAUCCUCUGAUAGCCAACAUAGGAUCUACUUUUCUUAUUCUUUCAUUGAGUCUUCAUAAAAGAAGGAUGGGACCCCCACAGAAAACUUUACAAUGCCUAUGGAUUGUAGAGAUGACCAGUUUAUUACUCAUUGGACAUGAUGAUGGUCCAUGGGUUCUUUGACACUCUUGCCAAGCAGCUGUGAUAGUGCCCUGUGCAUAGGGAUCUUAGGUCACAACCUUGAUGUUGCCCUCUGCCUAGCAUGAAACAAUCAUAGAAACAAUUAUGAUGUGGACAAGGAAGGAAAGAAAGAACACUGUGAAAGGUUAGAGCAGGAUCUGCAAAAUUUUCUUGUUGUGACAAAAUGUAUUUGAUGUAAUAGUAUAAAAUGGUAUCUGAUUAACAGCUGGGAUCAGUAGAAGGUGAAGGAGAUCAAUACCUCAGAAUAUCAAUAACUCAUGUAAGAAGCAAAGGUAAGAAAUCUCUGCUUUAGGGGACUUAACUGAAACAUUAGAUAAAACUGAGAACUUGUUAUGAUUUAGAUAUGAGGUGUCCCCCAAAAGUUCAUGUGUGAGACAAUGCAAGAAAAUUUAGAGGUGAAAUGAUUGGGCUAUGAGCCUUAACCUAAUCAGCACAUUAAUUCCCUGAUAGGGACUAAUUGGGUAGUAACUGUAGGCUGGUAGGAUGCAGCUGGAGGAGGUAAGUCAUAGGGAGCAUGCCUUUAGGGUUUAUAUUUUGUCUUGUUGAGGGACAUCUCUUUCUGCUUCCUCAUUCCAUGUCCUGUAUUCCUUCAUCUCACCCUUCCACCAUGAUGUUCUGCCUCACCUCUGGCCCACAGCAAUGGAACUAUGGACUGAGACCUCUGAAACGGACUUCCCUUUCCUAGAGGAGAAGAGUUUGUUCUAGAAUUGCCUUUCACUUCAGGGGCAGGAUGCUCUCGCUUGCGUGGGUAUGAAUAGGAAGAGGAAAUGCGUACAUUUGGCAUUGUGCUGAAUUUUGGACUUCUUAACAUACCCGAUGAAAAUAACUUCAAUAUACUGGCAGUGUUUGCUCAGGAACAACUUCCUUGAGUUUCAGUAAAACAGUGCAGUUGAUGAAACACUGACAUAAAGAGCCAGUUGAACAGGCCACGACAAUAGGUGUUGAAGUGGUCUAAACAGAACCUGAAUGUUGCACAUAAGAGAAGAAAAUAGUCACACAUCUGGGAAUGAACAUAAGGACAUGUGGGCUAAGUACAAUUCUUACUCAGUUCUAAAAAGCUUUUUAAUGCAAAAAAUAGAAAGGGCUAUAAAGUCACUUGGGCUAAACAUCAUUUUAUUCCAGGUAUAUAAAGAGUAUUAAUAACUAUGUUGUAUGCUUUUAGGAAUUUUCUAAAUAUUGUAGCAACUCAUGUUCCUGUGUGUUUUACUGAGCACAAAUUGAAACACUGAAAAUUUAUAUAAUAAUAAUACCCUAUGCAGUAUGUAAUGACUUUGUCUAAACUAUGAGCUAUGGUUUGUAAACAUCUUUUUUAAGAAGUAAAAAAUAAUGUCAAAUAUUAGAAAGCAUAUUUCCUGUAGUUAAACCUGAUCUAAAUAUUUUGGUCUGCCAAAUUCCAAUGUAAUAUUUAGAGAUAUUUUAAUGAAUGCAUAAGAUUUUUUUGCCGUUUUUAAGUCUGUGAUAACAUAGGAAAUGCCUCAAGCAAUGAAGUUAUCCUAAAAUAAAAUUUAUUUCAGAAAAUUGAAGACUUUUUUUUCUUAUUUAAAAUCUCUGCUUUUGGCAUAAAACCAUUUGGAAAUUUCUUUCACCUCCAUUCCCUCCCCAACUGAUAAAGCCUAUGACUUCUAUGCUCUCAUGUAUGCAGGAGCAAUUAGAUAAGCUGCCAGAAUCUUUUUUUUAUUUAACUCGAAGUAAAUGUAGUAUUUAUUUUUGAGUAUUUAUCAAAUGGAUAAAUGAAUAAAAUAACCAUGUCUUUAUAAUUAUGUUUAACAUGAACAAACAAUAUAAUACCUAAUAGUAUUGGUAACAAUAUUAUUACAAUUUUAAGUAAAGAAAAUAUGGUGUUUGAGGAAAAAAAAGGUUAGUAUAGGUCCAAUCAUAUCUAGAAAACUGUGUGUAUUUUUGGAAGUCUGGAGCUGUUAAAAAACCUAAGUUGCUACACAAUUUGGAUGAUCAGUCUGAUAAUGGUUUCAGUAAGACUUUUAGAUAGUUGCUUUUUCUGAAACAAUUCCUAUUUUCUGCAAGAAACCAACAUAUAGUCAGUUGUAAAUAAUUCUCAACUGCAAUACACACAAAUCCUAAUACUGUUGAAAACAAGUCUGAAUAUGUGGUGUGCCCACAUUCCUGACUGUUGCCUCUCCAAAGCUUCUUGGCAAAGACCGCUCCUCUGACACUUCAGUAAUGCUCUUUGAAGAACUAUUUGUAGGGGAGAGUGCCCUCUGAGCCCUCUUGUCUUCCAGGUGGCAGUCACUACCCCCUCAGACCAGGUAUUGGACAUGAAUGAGAAGUGGACACACAGCACUCUACAGCCACAUCAAUGUUCAUUGCUGCUCAAUUCACCAUAGCCUGAUUGUGGAACCAAC